GGGAGGGGGGAGGGGGAUGUUUGCCCGGAAACCGGGAAAGGGAAUAACACUCGAAAUGUAUAUAAGAAAUACUCAAGUUAAUAAAAAAAAAAAAAAAGAAAAAAAAAAAGAAAAUAAAAGACCCUUCUUAUCAAAUGUCUUCUUGUUCCCAAUAAGUACACCUAUUGAUGUUCUCAAAAAUUAGUUACACUUUCAGAAAGCUUUGUCUUGGUGAUGUUGAGUUUUCUGUCAUUUUUCCUCGCUUCCUAAAAUUGCUCUUGUUUCUGUCUUCAGUAUGUCACAGGGGGGAGGAAUAUAUUUUUCCCAGGGUAUGUAUAUGGGUAGACAGCAAUACAAAGCCAGGUAAUGAUAUUCUUUAUAUCCCUAAGUUAUUUUAUGUAUGUCUUUUAUUGAUAAAAUAUGGUAGCCAUGAUUUAACACAUAAGAAAACUGUGAAUUGUAAAAAAAAAUUCAUCAGGGGAUCAGAUGCAAACUUCGCUCUCCCCAAACCAGUGUUUCUGCUGAACCAAAUGAUCUUCUGGGUAAUCGCUUUAUUGUACAGUUUUUAAUUCAUUAUUAGUCUUUACAGCACUUGAGUAUAAAGACUAAAAUUUUACUCUUACUAAGAAAUAACAAUGAAGGCUUAGAAGCAAAUUGUUAUAUAAUUGUGUGCCAACAUUCUCAGUAUGAUAUUUCCUGCUCACAUUCUAGUUGACAUCUUGUGCAUAAAUAGUCACAUCUGUCUUGGAUCUGAAGCAGUGAGACAUAUGAUAAAAUCCAUGACAGAUCUUGGAAAAUAUUCUCAUUUAAUACAGGAACAGAAAAAUCUGAACUGAAAUAAAGCCUCACACAACACAUGGACACCGAUUACCAGAUAAAUAUAUAAUUUUAUUUUUUGGAGUUGAAUGUAAGAGAAGUAUCCCAAAUUGUACUGACUUUUUAUGUGAGUGACAUGAUCACCAGCAAACUCACCUGUCUUGAGAUUAAGUCUGUUCUCCACAGAAACAGUGGUUUCCUUCAGCUUCCAUAUCAUAUUCUGGAGCAGAUCAUCUAUGUCUUUGCUCAAGAGCUUCAUUUGAAAAUGUUUCUGCUUUCUAUAAAAUUUUAUAAAACAGGUAACUUAUUCUUGUACUAUUUUCUUUUUGUCUUUAUGAACACUUAAUAUUAGAAAUUAAUGUAAAUUGUAUCGAUACUUUAUGUUGACAAGACACACAUUGAACUAGAGCUUAGAUAAUUCCUAAAAUUACAGUAGCCUCUAAAUUAUGUGUAAAUCUUUGACAGUCAUUUAUAAAUUUUUAAUGUCCCAAACUGAUACUCAAUGUCAAACCGUAUGUGACGGGAUACAUUACUAAAUUUACCAGAUAUUAUAUCCAUUUUUCUUUAUUUGUAAUUAUUUGAAACUGUUGUAAAAUUAUUUAAAAAAAUGUUGUCUUUUAUCCUGCACUAGAUCCAGCACCAUAGUGACCCAAGAUAUCUGGUAGAUAUCUUCAUCUCAGUCAGCAAAGACUCUCUCCUGCUCUGCUCUAUCCCAUAUCACACUGAUGGCUUCUCUCUGAGCCUGGUAGCAAUCUCUCUACCCAUCUAAUUCCCAAGGCAUUUCUGCCCACCAUGCCAGAAAUAUACAUCCCAAUUCUGUGAUGGCUUAGUGUCUCUGGCUGCCACAUAAUCUCCUAAACUUAAAUCACCACAUGAAAGAACACACACCUCUGAUCCAAUUGAUAAGAUAUAAUUGCCCACCUAAACAUACAAAGCCCUAUACACAUCUAUCUCUUAAGAAUAUUCAUAACAACCUAUAAAUGUACAGAGCGAAAUCUUAACAACAUCCUUCCUGUUCUCUCUGCUGCUUCUCCUGCUUCAUCCAGACUCCUCCUCUCUCUAAACCUUUUCUCCCACCCAUCCUUCCAUCUCGUCCAGUGACAGGCCUUGUUCUUUCUUGUACCUGCCUUUACCUGUAUAACAUUCUAUAUGAAACCAUAUUUUACAUUACAAAUAUGUGUUAUUUUAAUUACAAAGAUUUGGAAAACUGUAGUAUAAGCUUCAUCUUUCAAAAUAAGAAAAUACCCAAAACCCUACAAAUUAUUUAUUUCUUAACAAAUAUUGCAAAAUAUUGACAUGCUGAAUAUUCAUUGCAAAAUUACAAUUCUUUUAUACAUAAAAUUAAGUUUUUAUUAAAUUAAAAUUCUAACAAAAUAUAAUGACAACAUCAAAAGUAUCCAUUUUGUGAUAUUAGGUUGAGGAAAUUCCUGAAAAUAAUGAAACUCAGCCUCACCAGAUCAUAAUUAAUAGACUUAAUUAUAUCUAUAUAUUAAAACCUAUAUUCUCAAAUUUCAUAAGCAGAAAAAAACUUAAAGAAAUGUAUGAACCUAAUAUUUGUAAUGGAUAGGACACAUUUUUGAUAUCUUUAAUAAUGAUAAAAAUAGUUUCUAAAAGAAAUCAAAAGUGAUUAUUAAUAAUGACACAUGGUUCUAGUUCCUCAAUUUGUUGCUAAUAUAAAAUAGAUUUCUGGUAUAGGCAAAGAAAAUUGAAAGAUUUAAUAGUUUCAAACUAAUAUUAAAUAAUUUUAAAGGUAUUCUCUGUAAAUAAAUGUUAUUACAUUAGCCUAUUCAUAGGCUGUGUACAUAGCAUGUUGGAAUAGCCCUUGCUACUAUGGAAAAUAUGGAACAAUGAAUUGCGGCCUCACCUCUUUGAACUCAGGAUACUAUUAUAUUCCUCUUCUUUAUAGCUGGAAAGAUGGCUUAGAGGGUGAGAGGGCUUGCUAUUCUUCCAAGGUGGCUGAAUCUGCUGAUACUCACCUGUAAUAUCAGCUAUCAGCUCUAGGUCUGAUGCUCUCUUCUGCUCACCUCUCAAACACACACACACACACACACACACACACACACAAGCACACACACACACACAGAAGCACACACACACACAAGCACACACACACACACAGACACUAUACUAAAUGAAACAAAGAAUAAAAAUACAUUUAAUAAUUAUGACUCUUCUCCUGGUUUCCAGAAUUCCAGUAAAAGUAUCUUGACAGAUGUGUAAUUAUUAUUCAAGCAUAAAAGAUACGUUUUGAACUCAGAUCUAUUUUAACCAUUCCUCCCCUUCUUGUAGGCCACAUAAGUUAAUAUAAAAAAGAAAAUAAAUAUCACCUUGGUGUUUCCUAAAAUCUACUUUCGUUAUUCAAAGAUUAUGUUCAUAAAUUAGUAUAAAUUAGCAUAAAAUGAUUAUCAAUGAAAGGGGUAAUUACAUUAAAAGUAUGGUAAAUUGGAAGAAUUUUAGACUAUAAAACUCUUCAAAAUGAUACAUUCUACUCCUUUAAAUAUUGUACAGCAUUUGCAUUAUCUGGAAGAAAUUGCAUUGUGCCUAAGAAAUACCUACAUUAUUGUAUUAUUUCUGGUUAUUUUCCUCACUAUGUACUUACAAAUUAUAUGAGUAUUCUCUAGAUAAUGUAUUUCUGUAAUGAAAAGUUGCAAAAAGUUAAUUGUCAAACAGUGAUAAUGGUGUCAAAGAGUGGUAUCUCUUAUUAAGAAAUGCAGGAAUGGCGUGCUGCUUCAUUAUUCUAAAUAACAUUUCUAGUUCACUUUGAACAGUUUCCUCGGAAGAAAGAAACCCGGUCAAUCUUGAGAUGCCACAGUUCCUGCCGGUGAUGAUAGCAUCACAAUUUCAUAAAUGCAGUCAUUUAGGUAUAAUUUGACUGAUAUUCUGUAGAGAUUUUUCUUAGGAAUUCAUUUCCAUAUUAAAGGUUUUGGCAUUAAUGUAUAAAUUUAGCACCAGAGCUGUGACAUCCAAUUUAUACCAUCUUCCAUUUUUCAGCCUCAAUAAUGCUGAGGAGAAUAACAGGCAACCACUAUGAAAUAGUUAUAGCAUCAUUUGUAACAUUAUUUGAAAAUACAGGAUUAAAACUCAAUUUAAACACAUUGGCAUGCAUAUGCAGAGUACACAAUGGAUGAAUAACUCCAUCUGACAUUUAGAUCCCUUCCUGGAUUAUAACAUUUUUUAUUUAAUGUCUUGAACAUUUUUAACGUAUGUGGUCCAGUUAUGUGCAUUUUACAAAUAAGCUAAAUAUUUUUGUUUUGUUUCGUUUUGUUUUAAGACAGGGUAUCUUUAGAACAGCCCUGGCUGUCUUGCAACUGAUUUCAUAGACAGGUUGACCUUGAACUCAAAGAGAUCUGCCUGACCGUACCUGUUGAAUGGUAGAAUUAAAGUUGUGCACUGCAUGAUCCUGCCCAAUCCUACAUUAAUUUAUUUUUUAUUUUAAUUUUAGAUUUUACUCAAUCACUUUACCUUGCACUUGUUGUCCUGGUCACCCCUUUCCAGAAUCCUUUCCCCAUCUUAUCUCCCUUUUUCCUCUGAGUGGGUGCAGAUCCCUAGUGUAAAACCCCCACAACUUGGCACUUCAAGUCUCUGCAAAACUAGGUGUUUCUGGUCCCACUGAGGCCAGACAAGGCAGCCAAGCUAGAACACAUCCCACUCACAGGCAACAGCUUUUGGAAUAGCCCUUCUUUAAGUUGUUUGGGAUUCACAUGAAGGUCACUUAUGCUACAUAUGAACGGGGAGGCUUAGGUCCAACCUUCAUGUAUGAUUUUUGGUUGGUGGGUCAUAUCUGAGAACCACUAGGGUCCAGGUAAGUUGACUCUGUUAGUUGGUCUUCCUGUGGAAUUCCUCUCCCAUCUGGGGCCUACGAUCCUUCCUCCUAUUCCUCCAUAUGUGUCCCCAGGCUUGAUCCACUCUUCAGGUGUGGAUUUCUUCAUCUAUCUGAGUCAGCCUCUGGCUAGAGCCCCUCAGAGGACAAUAUGCUCCUGUCUGUGUAGUUCCGGAGUCUUGGGUUUGAUGAGAGUGGAAGGAGAGAGAGAGAAUGGAAGCCCCCUUGGGAUAGCAAGCUACUGAGGGUCCUAAGCUAAACUAUUAAUGCAAAAGCUAUGAGGGAAAUGAUUACAUCACACUGAUUUUGCAUUUAACUUACUCCGUGAAAAGCAUUUCAAUAAAGAUUCUCUGAGUUUCUAAUUCAUUACUUACAUAAAAUAAAUAUUUCAUAUACUGUUCGACAUCAGAGAUGAUGUGUUAGAUGGUGAAAACUUUACUGAUAUGAAAAUUAAUUUAAAACAAUGUGUGUUCCCUCUGCCUCCCUUUUCCUCAAAGAGAAAAGUUGUGAUAUACUACUAAUCUGCAUAGGCUGUUUUAGGCACUCUUAAAUUUUGAAUAGGAACUUUAUUUAUGUGCAAAUAGGCUGUAUAGUAGAUGAUUUUUAUGUGUUGGUAUUUAUCAUUUUAUUAUAAAAUAGUUUGUAUAUCUGUAUGGUUAUAAAAUCAUAUAGUUUGCCUUGCUAUUAUGUACCUGUAUAUACUAGGGGAGGUGGAAAAAAAUGUAGGUGUCCUGUGUCUUCAAUUUCACUAUUCCUUUUAGACAGGGUCUUUCCCUCAAGCUGGGCUUCAUGUUAUUAGGUUGGAAGCCAAAAAUUGCAGCUGUCCUCCUGGCCCAUAUUGGAGCUGGGUUUACAGGCCUGUUCUAGGUGACUAGCUUGUUACAGGGAUGCUAAAACUCAAAUCCAGUCCUCCUCAGAGUGAAGCAAACAAUCUUUUUUUAUUGGAUAUUUUUUAUUUACAUUUCAAAUGUUAUUCCCUUUCCUGGUUUCCUGGACAUAAGCCUCCUAUUCUCUCCCUUUCCCCUUCUAUAAAGGUGUUCCCCUCCCCAUCCACUCCCCUUCCUGCACUCUUAACUACAAGCCAUUUCUCUAACCCGUCCCAGUUUUAAUGUUGGAAGCAGGAUUUAAUGACAUACCUUACAAAGGACCAGAACUUAGUUUUGUCUCAGCCCUUUGUGUACAAAUCAUGGAUAGUGCCAUGAGCAAUGAGAUUCACUUAUUUUCCUAUAGUCAAAUAUCAAGGGAGUGAUUAAGUGGAAGUAAUUCUAAUUCCUGCUCAGUGAAGAAGCAAAGAUGAGAUCUACUGCCCUUUAAGGCAGAGAUAAAGACAGAGACCUGGGAAACACAGCUCUAAAUGAGAUGUCUCCAUUAAAUCCCUCCCCUCAGAGCUCAGGGAAUUCUGAAGAAAGUAUGAGGCAGAAAGGAUAGAGAACUCCAGGAGAACAAGACCCUCUAAACCACAGGAACAAAGCUCAUAAGAGCUCACAGAGCCUGAAGCAACAAGCAAAGGGCGUCUAUGGGUCUUUCCCAGAGGUCCUCUGAAUAUUUAUUAUAGCUUUCAGGUUAGUAUUUUUAUUGAAAUCCUGAAUGUGUGAAUGAGUGAGUAUCUGAUACUUGUGCCUGCUCUUGGUCUCUUCUGUUGGCUUUCAGUGUCAAAUUUUGAUAUGAAGGUUUUUGUUUUAUAUUUUUAUAUUUUAUUUUGUUAUGUCUUGUUGUUAUCUUAUAGAAACCUGUUCUUUUCUAAUGAGAGACAUAAAGGGAUUAGAUCCAGAUGGGAGUGAAAGUAGGAAGAACUGAAAGGAGUAGAGGGAAAUUAAACUGAAACCAAGAUAUAGUAUAUGAGAAUUGAAAUUAAUGAAACUGGGAAGUUUUUCAAUUGUUCAUUGUAAAAACAUAAUAAAAAAACUUUAAAAAUCUUUUUCUCCCUGCCCUCUCUCCUUGUCUCUCCCACUCUCCCUCCCUCCUUCUCUCUCCCUCCUCUCUCUUUGUCUCUUCCACUCUUAACCUCCCUGCUGCCUUCACUCACUAGCUCACUCCCUCACUCCCUCACUCCCUCACUCCCUCCCUCCCUCACUCACUUCCUCCCUCUCUCUCCCCAACCCCUCUCUCUUUCCAAAACUCUCUACCAUAUGCUAUUUUCAUCUGGCUAAUCACUUUGGCGGUGUCACCUUGUUGGCCUGUCUUCAUUGUUGCUUUCUUUCACAUCUAGCUAUGAGUGGAAUUCAUGGCAGUUUCUGUUUCUUGUAUAAGUGUGUUUCUACUUAGAAUGAGAUUAUAAGGCGUCCCAUUUAUGUGAAGACAUAUUAUCAGUCCCUUGAUAGUAAAAAGUGGCAGAUCAUAUAUAUAUAUAUAUAUAUAUAUUAAAAAACAAAACAAAACAGCAACAAAAAAAUAAAAUAUCAUUGAAUAUUUGAAUUAAUUCAACAUACUCUUAGAAAGGAAUUAAUGACAUUACUUGUUAAAUCAUCGACAGACUCUGUUUUAUUAAUAACAUAGCAACAUAGAUUUAUCCUGCCAAUAUGUAUUUGGUGUCAAGCAUAUUCAUCCAUAAUAUUUUACCACACUGCAUAUUUAUAACAUGGUAAGUUAUUAGGAGCUGUAUGUAUAUGUAUCAGGGGCACUUCUAUGCAUGACUGAGUGGCAUUUUAUGGAAAGAUGGAUACUACAGUUUCCUUUUUGCAUUUGAACAAACCACUGGAGGUAUAAUUUCAUGCAACUUCAAUUUUCUAGAAAAACUGUCCACAGUGACAUGUGGUCAUGAGCAAAUCUUCACCUGGGUGUUUGUCACCAAGCCUUGGUCAACAAUUGGUCUGUCAUCUUAAUGAUACAUUUACAGUCUAAGAUCUGCUAGGGAAAAUAAACUUAAGCAAGGUAGUUCACUGUUAGAAGACAGCAAAAAGGCAACAUAUUUACUUUUAUAUGAUUAUAAUAACUGACAUUUUGGCUAAUAAACUGAGAUUCUAGUAAUUAGGUUUUCAAGAUAAUAAUGACUGCUAAGCCCAAUGCAUUUUGUUUGUUUCCUGUACUUGUAAGAGAAGAUGAAAUUUCUAGCCAUAUAUUUCAUGUAUAUAUAAUUUAUUUCUGGGUGUUUCCAGUCAUUACCUUGGAAGAUAUGUUUGUACUAAUAAUGAAAACUGAAGUAAAGUAGCCCAAACACUAAAUUCAGGAAUAAGAAAGCAGAAACCUCCAAACUGUAAAAGGUUCAUCCUGGCAAUUUUGCUGGAAUUUGUCUGUGGGCAGACUAGAAUUAAGAUCUCUACGUUUCUGUCCCUGGAUUUUUUUCCAUUUUUUCAUGAAGUCAAAUGCAACACAUUGUCCUGAAAUGCACUGCCUCCUUGGACAAUGAAGACCAAUUAUUGAAAAUAAUCUGGAUGGAUGGCCAACAACAUUGCCAUAGAGUCAAGAAACUAUUCAUCCUCGUAUCCUCAAGACAACAUCAACGACUAGCAUAGACUUUGCUGAGCUAAGAUCUGUUGACCAUAGAAACAGGAGUCACCAAUGGCUUGGAUUUUCACUAUACCUGAUUUCAAUGAAUCACUAACGCCACUAAAACAUGGCAGACGCUACAGCAGCAACUGGUCACUGUAUUCAAUUGAAUUCGUGGAAAUGCCAGCAUCUUCUUAUGAACAACGAACACCUGCUUAAAAUCAGUUUGUGUGCAUUUGCAGGAACUUGUGAGUCUCCUAUUGAAAAUGGACAGGAGACUGACAAGUUCCCGGGAACACCCACAAAUCUUCCUACUCAUUUCUACCACCUUGCCAUGGACAGCACUCUGUGACUGGUGUUUACCACGGUUUCAGUUGCUCUGGAACCCAACUUUAUAUUUGAGUUAUUCAUAGAAAAUUAUUUUUGAAAACAAGAGGAAUUAUACCUAGGAAAAAAUUAACUCCACAACACACCAUUGAUUCCAUUUUUAUUAAAUCAUUUUCUCUGAAUUUGAAUUUCGACAAGGAAAGGCAUUUUUUCUUAAACACAGUCCUAAUAGUAUGUUUGUAAGCUGAACAUUUUGUCAGAGCCAAGUUGAAUUAUUCCUUUUUGUAUUACUUCUCAUGAAUAAUUUAGUAAUCUGACUGCCAAUAUUUAUAUGAAAGGUUUAAUAGAAAUAGUAGGAAAAGAAUAAUAUUAAAAUGUAUAUGUCAACAUAUCUUAACAUUCUCCAGUUUUUCUAGUUAUGUUCAGUCAGAACUUUAUAGGCAUAUAAACAUAUUUUAAUGAGAUAUCAUUACUUAUGUUUAGGUACAUGUGUAUUGCCAAAUCAUGUAAUUGCUCUUUCAUUUUAAGAAUACCCAAUAAAUAUAUUUAGUGCCACCAUUUAUAUCACAAACCAAUUCUUAAGCUUCUUGAUGAAGCCUCCCUUAAAAUUAUGAAAAGUUAAUCUACUUUUGUAGGGUCAUGAUUCUUUUUAGCCUGGUGGUAAAUGCAUGUAUUAAGGAAAAGAGUUCGGGUUCGGUCCCCAGCUCCGAAAAAAAGAACCAAAAAAAAAAAAAAAAAAAAAAAAAAAGGAAAAGAGUUAUUACAUGUGUGCAAUGGGAAUUAUGCUAUACAUAGUGGAGGAGUCUCUACUACUUAAAGUAACAAGACCAAAAAAGCUUUUCAGAUUUCUUCAUAAAGCUUAUGUAAAUGUUAUUUUCAUAUAAAUAUUCUGCAAUAAUGAGUGGCAAAGUCCCUUCCUCUGUGCAUUCAUCCUCUUAAAAAAAUUGCUUUCUAAAUACUCAAUAUUUUUAGUUUCUGUUUACAGUUGGUCUGUGAAUUAAAAAAUUCUAGCUUUUUAAUAUUGCCCUCAGUUGAAGUCCAAUAUGUAACUUAGUUUUGGGCUUCCUUCAGUUGGUUUUAACUUGAGACUAAGGGUGACAAAUAUUAUCAUAGAAGGCUUCGGUUUUCCUGCUUUCAUAAUUUAAGACUAUUUUUCCUCUCAUAUCAAUAUACUGUCUCUGGAUUUAACUGCGACAGAAUGAUCUAUUGAUUAGGUUCCUCUUAGAAAGCAUGAGUAGCACAAUGUGGACUCUUAAAGGCUUAUUAUAUAAUGCAAAAUAGGAGUAGACAUUGCCUUGAAUAUACUAUACACCAUAUAUUGUAUAUUCUAUAAUAUACACCAGUAUUGUUAUCAAAGAUGAUACUAGAAUUAUGGUUUCUCCCACAUAUUAGGUAUAGUCAGGAUAUAGAUGAGAACCAUUUUUCUUUAAGAAAUUAUUUACUUAAUAGUUUUCUAUGAUAAGCAGAGAGAAAACACUCACCCCUUUUCAAUAGUCAUACAAAAAUAACAUUAAAUAUAUGUCUCUUUAUUUCAACUCUUCAGGCUUCUUCUGGGUUAGAAAAAGUAACAGAAAUUAUGUGUAUAACUCUGUGCUCUUUUUGCUAUAAGGUAAACAUCAUAUAUGCAAGAUCCUGCUUCAUAUGUAUAAUAUGUAUAUAACUAUGAAUCAUUUUCUUAUCUAUAAUUACCUUAAAAUAACUUUAAAUUGUGUAAUAAUUAACUUUACAAUAAUUUCUUUUGCUAGUCCACCUAAAUGUAUUAAAUUUUAUAUAUUUCAAUUCACACAAGUAAAAUCUCAUGGAUGUAUUCAUCUUUUUUUAAAAUAACAAAUCAUUGUUUAGUCUUUAGUCAAUUUUAGAUUAUACCUUGAUUGUGAUUAUAACUACAUAUGUUAUUAAACUGUCUAACUUUUCCACGGUUAUUGAUAUUUGUCUUCUUUGGCUAGUUGUCACUUUCUUUAUUGGCUAUGCCAACAUUUGAGUGCCUUGGGAUAUGUGGGAAUAUCAUGAUAUUAUGUUUUCAUAUGUCUUUGGCAUUCUCCGUGUUCAAUUGGAAAAAUAAUGUAUUGGAUGUCAUUUUGUAUUACUUCAUUAUUAAAAAUCAGCAUACAGGGUGAUGGCUUUUUGGGUAAAUUGUUUUGUAUUCAAGUAUUAAGACAAAUUUGCAUCCCCAAAACUUAUGUAGACACCUGGCAAAUGUGGUAACCUACUGGCAAUUCCUGUAGCUGGUAGGUACCAACAGAAUAUCACAUGGACAGCUGGCUAGGUAUUCUGGUCAUCCUCAGGAACAUGCAGUUUCAGCAGCAGAGUAAAUAAAAGAGGAUAGCACUGAAGGUGCCUAACUUCAUGUCAGUUCUCCACAUUCACGUGCACACAUGUGCACACACAAUUGGUCAAACAUCCAAUUAUGCACACACACACACACACACACACACACACACACACACACUAUGCUCAGGCAAAAUGAGUUAUAGUAUUGAUUUUGCCACUACUAAAAUUAAACAAAACAAAAUUGAGACAAUAUAAAACAGCAUUUGUAAGAGUCUCUCUUUUAGUGUUUUUUUUUUCAUUUUGCUUCUGUUCUUUCUUAAACCUAUUGGGUUUCCUGUGACCCUGACUCAAAUGAAAAUUUUAAAACAAUCAGUUAUAAGGGCUCUAAUAAUAUGGACAUCAUAGCAUCCUGAAACAUAGAUCACAUUUUCUAAUGCUCUGUCUCUUCCUCUCUAAUCCAUCAAACAUUUGAAAACAUACCUAUUGUUAAUAUUGAUUUUGGAAAAAUAGUUCUAGUGAUAAGUAAGAAAAUAUAAUGGAGUUAUAAUGUAAUUAAUAAUAUUAGUCACUUAGGAACUAAACUGUCUAAUGUGGGAGGAUGAGGAAGUAUCACGACUGUCCUGUAAGAGUUUACCUUGGAAGUGUGUGUCAGAGCUGAGAGAAGAAACAUGUCAAAGAGGAAGUCUUUACCAUAGCCAGGAGAGCAUGAGAAAACCAGCGAGUUUAUAUGGAAUGGUUUAACCAAUAUAAAUCUGUCCAGAAAUGCACAUCUUUCUGAACCACUUUUAGGCUUUGAAAGUGAUUCUAGCAUUAUGUGAUCAAUCUUGGCUAAUUAUUUAGAGACAAAAUAAAAGAACUCCCCAUUAAGUAUCACAAACAAAACCAAAACAAACAAAGCAACAAGAAGAAACUAGUUUUUGUUUUAAAGAAUUCAUUGAUUUAUUUGCUUACAUCUCAAAUGCUGCUCCACAUCCAGGUCCCUCCAUCACCAAGUCCUUCCCUUCUAUCCACCCUUCCCUUCUCCUCUGAGAGAGCGACUCCCUUGGGUAUUCCCAGACUCUGGCACAUCAAGUGUCUGUCAUGUUAGGUGUAUCCUCUCCCGCUGAGGCCAGACUGGGUAGCCAUAAAAACUGAGUUGCUUUUCUGCUACAUAUGUGCUGGGAGACCUCGUUUUGGUCUGUGUAUUUUUAUUUUUAUUUAUUUUUGCUUGGUGGCUCAGGUUCUGAGAGCUCUCUGGUGUCCAUGUUUGUUGACUCUGUAGGUCCUGCUAUGGAGUUCCCAUCUAUGUCGGAUCAAUCCUUCCCCCAACUCUUUGGUAAAUGUUUUUAAAUUGGAGUAAAGUAGUGGUGUAAGUGCUGUUUGUCUUAUGCCAAAAUACAGGGGCAUUUUUUCCUCCUGAAACUUGAGAAUCUAAUUAAGGUUCCCAUUGUCCUUGUCCUCAGCUGCAAAGAAAGCCUGUCUUUAAUUAAACACAUCAAUGCAAGCAAGCAUUCUCACCUUGCUGUGAAUCAGUUGGCUCUUCCAAUCACUCUUUCUAGAAAGACUAUAUUAAUUUACAAAAUUAGAAAGUGCUUUUUUCAAAAUACAAUUUCAUCUUGAAUUCCCUUCUUUCAGCCUCUAUUUAUCAUCCUAAUCACAGAAUCUGCCAAGACUAUCUUUAAAUGAGUCCGGAAUUAUUACUGUUUAUAUUCCAGAUUGACCAGUCAAGAUGAAUUUUUUGCCUCUAUCACCCUUGGGUUCUAGAAUCCUCAAUCCAAUAGAAUGCUUAUGUUGAUGUUAAUAUUUAACUAGAACUUACUUGGAGAGUCUAGCUGCUGACAAUGAACAGUGAUCCUGGUCCUUAGAGGCUACUCCAAAUGCCUAAUCUACCAGUGCCAUCUUCAAUAGUGUCACUUCUUUGGCACCAUGGGGCAGUCAUCCGCUCCUUAAAAAUCAGCACAAAAUUAUACAGCUAUGGAUCCAUGACAGCAUGCCUCACAGUGAAUUUCUUAAUCAUUCCAGUGUUGAUGGCAUCCUCUACUGUUGUAUGUAGUACUUCAAAUAUGGCUUCAUUGGCUGAAUUUUAUAUUUGAUUGCUGGCAACUGCUUGACACCAGCAGUGUCAUUUGCCCUACAUAUUAAUAUUUAUCUUGUUUUUCACAUUGCCUUUUGCAAAAUACAUUCAAAGCUCUAAAUACGACUUGAUAAUGUGUCACUUUCAAGCAAUUUUAUAAUUUGGAAAUUGUCUACUUUAAAAAUUUCCAAAUUAAAUGUUGAUUGCAUUUAAUGUCAGAUAGAUAGGCAGAUAGCUGAACAUCUGUAAUCACCCUCUAAAUAGUCCUAAAUAUUUUCUCUUUUUAUGUCACUAUUUUAAAUGUGUUGCACAUUUUAAGAUCAAUUAUGCGAUAACUCAUAACAAUGCACCAAUGGUAACAAAACUGAGAAUAAAUCGACUCACUUGACAGUGAUUAUUUAUGCUCCUCCGAACAGUUUGCCGAUCAAAUUUGAGAAAGAGCUCUGAAGUAGUUGACUAAUUACCCAUAUUAAUGAAUGUCUCAGAAUCAUUAUGUACAGUAUUGCACUAGUAUGUGCCGAACAUAAUCUAUCCUUUUCUCCUUUAAAUUUACUUUACACAUAUGUCUACAAUAUCUGCAUAUGUAUGCAUGUAUGUGCAUAUGUAAUUUUGUGUGUACAUGGGUGAGACUCAUUUUGCUUGUGUAGGACAGGUCAUUAUAGCACUAGAUUACAAACAUAUGGAACCAUGUACAGCUUUACAUCAGGUCUGGGGAUAGAAGCCAGAGGCCUCAUGUGUAUGUUUCUACACACUGAGCAUUCGUGUGCCCCACAGUCCAUCUUAAAAGUGAAAAAUUUGAGAGUCUACCAAAGGAACAAUGCUUUAAACAAAGUAACCUAAGACAAAAAUAACCAAGUCAUAUUGUAUUUUUGUAAUUUUUUAAUCCAUCCUCAUCAAGUAACACAUAUAUCUUUAUAGACAUGCUGGAAACCACUAAGCACACUGAGGAAAGAAUAGCAUGGUGAUUUUCUCUAUGGGCGUUUCAUUCCUUUACAGAAGAAGUCAUGAACAAAUGGAAUAUGUAUGAUUUACUGUGGAUGGUGGGCUGAAGUGAUGGGUGAGAUGCUAUCAUACUGCCUUUAAGGGUCAGUUAGUUUUUAUUGUUCUUGUUCUUAGGUCAUUUUGAUGUGGAAAGAACCUUAGAAAUAGGCAUGUACAGGUGGAAGAAUCAACAGCAAGUAUAUUACAAUAUUUUGGAGAUAAGAUUUUAAAAAGUGCAACUAAUUGCAAAGCUAUUUAGGAGAUGAACAUGAACUAAUUGACAAAAAAUAAUUGAGAGGCCACUGAUGAUUGGCCAUAGAAAAUAACAAUGGUAAGAUGUUAAUAUUAUUAUUAUUAUUAUUAUUAUUAUUAUUAUUAUUAUUAUUAUCUCCAUCAAGAUAGUUCUCGGUCGGUGAACUUUUACAAAGGCUAGUCAAUUAAAACCAACGAGGCUGAAGUAAAUUGAACACAUAAAUGUAUUAAAAGUACAAAUUCUAUGAUACGUUUUAAAAAAUGCUGUAUGAAUGCUAUUUGCAUUCUAUUUUCCUGGAAGAACCUUCAAUAUAUCUUAGCCUUUGCUCUAGUUUCGUGUCUGCUUCUCUGGUGAAUUACGCUGACCAAAAAGCCACUUAUGGGAGAAGAGGUUGGUUUGUUUUUACAGUUCUGAGGGACUUGUCAAAGCAAGAAUUAUGGAUCACAUCCAUAGUCACACCGCAUUUGCUACCAUGCUGGUUACUUUUUGUCAACCUGUGAAAAACUAGAGUCACCUGAGAAGGAAAAAGAAAUCAUCUGACAAAUUGCAUCUUUCAAUUCCUCUGGGGCAUGUCUGUGGGAUGUUUUCUCUACUGAUCUUUGAUGUGUGAGAGUCCCGAUCACCGCAAUAGGCACCUCCCUGGGUAUAUGGUCCUGGGUUACAUAAGAAGCAAACUGUGCACUUCAUGGACAGUUUGUUUGUCCCGACUUAACUCGGGGGGACAGGGACAGGGACGGGGACUGGGAUGGGGACCCGGACAAGGACUGGGAUGGGGACCCGGACAAGGACUGGGAUGGGGACCCGGACAAGGACAAGGACACGGACAGGAAGGGGAGGGGAAAGGGAAGGGGAAGAAACCGUUGUACUCCCCAAUUUUCUUUUCAUAAUUAAGUUCUUCACAGCAAUAGAAAGCAAACCAGGACAAGGUUCUAGGGUCUGGAGUAAGAACUUUUCUAAUUCUGUCUGCUAGCUUUCCUCAUUCUUAACAGGUCCUUUACUAGGGAAGUGCCUAUGGUGGGCUGGGUAAAUUAGCAAUCAAGACUUCCCCACAGACGUGUACACAGACCAAUCUGAUCUGGCUAAUCAGUCAAUCGAGACUCUCUUUUAGGGUAAUUUUAGGCUGUGACAAGGUGGUACUUAAAACUAACCAGCAUACACUUAAUGAGCUCUUUUCUGACAUUGUUUGGGAAGGGUUCUUCUUAUUGGAAUUAAUCAAAGACAGUCCUGUGAUGAGAACUCCAGAUAGCACUGAGGACUUCUUUUUCUGUUCAGAUACUUAAGAUGAAAUUGAAUUACUACGUAUUCCUCAUAUGAUUUUGAGCAACUCAUUUUGAAAUGAAUCUGGGAUCCUUCCACUGUAAUAUAACAAUGUUAUAUCUGAAGCCUAAUUCUCAGAAUGGUCCUAAGGAACAAAUAGAACAAUGUACAUGGCAAGCCUGUGACUACCCCAUGCUAGUAAUUGUGAGUAACCCAGGCAUUGUUAUCAGGUGACAAAGCUGGCACUGAUGUUGACACACGUCAAAUAUCCUUCAGAGACUCUAUCUGUUGUUGAUAUUAUCUUGGAGAUUGUGGAACUUGGAAUUAUAAAAGUUCUUUAUUCUUUAAUAUCUCUACUUUUAAAUGAGUUGGUCUUUAAAGAAAUGCCCCAAAUGAAAUGAGGACAUAAACACAAGGGAUGAAGAGUAAGGCAUACAGAGACUGUGAAAUAUUCAUAUGCAAAGUUUACAAUUUAUAGAAUACCAGAAACUUCAUAAAACAUGGAUAUUCAAGAAAGAGAAUCUAGGUUCACACUAAAUUUCUUGAUCUAUCUCCUCUAUCACCCACAAACAAACAAACAAACAAACAAACAAACAAAUGAACAAGAAACUCUGAGACCUCAAAAAGAAAAUCAACCUGAAAACAAUCUAUACGUUUAUGUAUAUAAAUUACUAGCCUGGCCUCAAGUCUUACAAAUGCCAGUCAUUAAAACUAAAAUAUAAAGAGGCAAAACAUUGCUGUUUAAAGGUAAUAAAAAACUUGAAAAAUGAGGGUAACAUAUGACUUUACUUAUUUCCUAAGUACAGAAGACAGGGGCAGCAGGAAAUGCUUUAAAGAAGACUCUUGAGACAAUUUGUAAAUGUUAAAAUGUAAUACUUUGUAUAACUCUAUAGCACUCUUAUUUUUUUAAUAUUGCUACUUGAUAGAACAACAUGUAGGUGAAAAUUCUUUUUUUCACAAAAGUUCAUGGUUUAGUAAACAAAUAACAUACAUCUAUAACUUACAUCCAAGAAGUUUGUGAGAUAGUAGUAUUUCUUCAGAAAGUAAAAUGAUAUAUAUUGAAGUAGCCAAAUUUUAUACAUAUCAUACAUUUUAGUGGAAAUUCUUUUUUUUCCUAUGUAAGGAAUGAAGUAUCCUAAACUUUUCUACUCUGAGGUUCUAUAAUUUUGUGUGGACACAGAAAAAGAGAUAUUAUAUGCCUUUAUUUAUAUAAAAGAAAAUAAAAUCAGACACAUGUACCAAAUGUGUAUAGGUAUGUCAUGUGUGUAUGUAUGUGUGUGUGUGUCUGCGUGUGUGUGUGUGUGUGUUAUAAAUGACCACAGUUAUCUGAUAUAUUAUUUUUUAUAUUAUCUACAAGGAGUGGGGGAGGGAGAGAGGAACCUGGGUGGAAAGGCAACAAACAGGGAGGGGACGAGAGAACAUGAUCAGGUAUUGGGAGGAAGGGGGACAGGACUGAUGCCCUGAGGAUUAGCAGAAAAAAGUGAAAGAGGAAACUUUGGAAGGUAGGAUGUGGGGGACCCUCAAGAAUGUACCAGAGAACUGGGAGGUGAGAAACUCUCACGACUCACAGGGAGGGAUAUGUAAGGAUAUGAAAUGCCUUACAGUGGGGAGAGAGAACUUGUCAAGUCCACCUCCAGUAAAAAGAUAGGGCAUCAGGUGGACGGAUAGGGUUGAAAUCCCACAGUCAAAAACUCUGACCCAGAACUGUUCCUGUCUGAAAGAACUGCUAGAACAAAAAAAAAUGGAGAAGAUCCUAGGAAAAAGGAGGUCCUAUGAUAGACCCAAAUUGAGAUCCAGCUCAGGGGGAGGACCCAAGGCCUGACACUAUUACUGAUGCUAUGAUGUGCUUACAAAAUCUAUCAUGACUGCCCUUAAAAGGCCCAACAAGCAGCUGAGUCAGAUACAGAUGUUUACACCCAAUCAAUGGACAAAAGUUGGUGAGCCCUGUGGCUUAAUUAGGCAAAAGCUGGGAGAAGCUGAGGAGGGUGACCCUAUUGGAAGACCAGAAAUCUCAACUAACCUUGUACCCUGAGGUUGCUCAGACACUGAGCCACCAACCAGGCAACAUAUACCACCUGAGAUGAGGCUUCCAACACAUAUACAUCACAGCACUUCUGGGUAUGGACUCAAAGAAGAUGUGACUAACCCUGAAAAGACUUGGGUCCCCAAGAAGUGGGGAGGUCUAGUGGGAUGGGAGGAGUGGUAAAAUCACUUGGAUACAGGCUGGGGGUGGAGGAGGAAGUGUAGGAUGUAGAACAGAGGAAGGGUGGAUCAGGAGGGGGAUAAAAUCUGAACUAUAAAAAAGAUUAAAAAAUAAAAAUAAUAAUAAAAAUAUAAAGCAAACAAAAUUAUAUAAAAAAAAGAAUAUAAAAGGACGAAAGAUGUUAGAACACCCAAAACCUAUGUUUUAAUUUGAGAGUGGUAUAGCACUGUUUGACAUCAAAACAUAACAGUCAGUAUAGCUAACACUUUUCAAGAUUUGGCUCUGAAGUAUCUGUUACUAUUCUAAAGAUUGUACCCUGAUUGGUGAUCAUGCUAGAUUCUCUGUGAAUGGGGAGUUAGAUGGAGUGUUGGUGCUCACUAGGCGUGAAUUAUGGUUUAAUUAAAUCUUGGUUAGAAUGAUUGGUUCAAGAACACAAAGCCUUCUCAUCAACAAAAGCCAUUGAUUGUACCCCAUGAACAUCUGCCCCUAAUUAUUGCACUGCCCAAUGCACAAAUUAUGAAUGAACAAUUAUUGCAGAGAGCCACAUUUCAAUUAGCUACUGAGCUCCAGAUUUGACACCUGGCAAUAAGGUUUCCAUUGGAGUAUGUCACUAAAGUCUUAGAAAGUUAAUGAUAGCAGUGAGAUGCAAAAACCCUGAGCAUGAAAGUUUUCUAUAUAGUUAAAAGAAUGUACUUGAAAACCAACAUGGAGGGGCAUAGUUCUAUUUCACUCCUGAAAAUGUUAUGCAUUGGAACUGUUAGAUGGGACCAGCAUACAGCCAAUCAAGCAAUCUACUAGGACUCCUGGAUUUAACCUGUCCUACCUGAGUUUUACAGUAUAUAAAAGUAGAAGAAAUAUGUAAAUUUGUAUCACAUAGAUGAAAUCACAUUUAUUGUGCAAAACUGAUACCAUCAUAGGGAAAAUUGUCAAAAUUGUAUGUGAAAUAUAAUAUGUAUAUAUGUACAUACAUAUAUAUAAUUUAAAAUAUGUGAAAUCAGUAAUUUUGCUUUCAUUGUCAUAUUUAACCAUUAUGCUGCAUUCAUUUAGCUUGUUCAUGUUAUUUAUUUAUGUUACCAAAAAAUCUAUCUUUUCAUUUAGUACUAGUUUUUUAGCUCAAUACUAUAAAUAUAUAAAUUAUAUAAGUAUUAUAUAAAUUAUUUUAAAACCAAAACCUAUAAUAUGGUGGCUUACAGAUACUCAAUUACCUAAACACAUAUUAGAAUUAUUGAUUAAAGAUACUCUUUAGAGGAAACCAAAUAAAGAUGGUGUAGAUUGUUCAAGGAUUAUGACACCUGCUGUUUUGUCAGAAUACCGGAGCUAAGUUGUAAGAAUCCAAGGCCAUAAGACACAAACAUCUGUAACUUCAGCACCAAAGGAUUUAAAACUGCCACUUCUGGUCUCCCCAGGAAUCCAUAUGCAAGUUCACAACACACACACACACACACACACACACACACACACACAGACACAGACACACACACACAAGCUUACAGUACAAAUACCCACACACAUACACACUCAGGAGAUGGGGAAGGAGGUGUGGAGAAUGAAGAGAGGGAGAAGGGGGAGGGAGGGAGGGAGAGAAUGUUUUUUUUUUCUUUUUUUUUCGGAGCUGGGGAGAGAGAAUGUUUUAAAUACAAGGAAGUAACUUCUCUGAGUAUAAACCAAUGAGUUAUUGAAGCAAGCACUAAAGCGUUAUAUAGAUUUUUUCAAUAUUAAAUUUGAUCCAUAAGAAACAGACUUUUCAUUCCUCUUAAUAUGCAUUAAUGAAUUCAAAUCAAAUUACCUCACGAUGGUGAGAUUUGACAGAUUUCACUGGUCUAAAUUUUUUAUUCCCAAUUUGAGUGUUUACUGCUUAGGUUCUUCUCAGACAAGUAUAUAAUACAGUUUUUCCCAACCUUUCCUUUUGUGAGUGAUGUGAGUCUGGAACACACUAUCAGUUGAUGCUAGAAAAUGUUUGGGUUAUUGAUUUCCAGGUAAAAAACAUGAUUGAAUUUUGGUCAUUGCAUUUUGAGAAAUGUUAAACCUGAAUCAUAUUUAUCGGACUUUUCCUUUGUUAUUAAUGGUGCAAUCCUAGUCCUCGGGUAAAAGCAUAUCUGUUGUCCUCCAGUUACAUGUCUUUUCCUUUUUCUUCAUAAUCAGAACUUUCCUAGUUAGCUAAAUUGAAUACUGUCUCCUGACAACUGUGUGUCUGAUUUUGCUUAAGUGAUGUCAAAUGAAAAAUUAGUUGCCCACUUGCCCCAUUACAAAGGUGUAGGUGCAUAACUUCAAGCUUGAGACUGCCAAUUAGACAUUUAUUUAAUCUAAAAGUUAUUAAUUUCCUAGUAAGUAAGCAUUUAUACAGAUAUUUGGCCAUGCUACCUGCUGAGGAAAAAGUGUUAAAUCUGCCUAUUGAAGAAUUUCUAUGGAAUUCUAUAUACCAUGUUAUGCUGGAAUCUUUUGUAGCAUCAACAGAUGGUUCAACAUCUGAUUGCAUAAUAAGAAGAUGACAAAUGUUGCCUGAAUUUGCCAUCGCAUCAAGAGCUGUAACCUGUUUUCAUUGUUUCCCAACAGAUAACAUCAUUUCAGUUUCUCCUAUUGUAGUUCAUUGUUCCCUGCUGGUAGGUCUUAUCUCUCCUGCUAAAUGUCAUCUCUUUCACUAUUUCUAAUAUGAGUGGGGACAAAUGCAGUAGUUUAAUUCCAAAGGAAAUGAAGUUAUUUUGCCUCUAAUAGUACAUGUUCUAUAAUAUAACUUAAUGCCAUUGCUGUGUCAGAUAUUGAGGCAAAUGCUAGAAUUUCUUUUGUGGGAAUGAUAAAAUGCACUAAUAUUUUUCUGUUUUUUUAAAUGCUUGUAACUGUACUUUUAGGUGUGAAACCUUAGUUAAGUGACUUUUAAAUGCAAAUGCAGGUAGGUGACUAUAUCACAAAAUAAAUCUCUUAAAAAUAUGAACCCACUGCUUCUGAUAUUACAUUAUCCAACACUAAGGAUAUCUCUCUUCACUCUUUUUUGUGUUUUUAAUGUUUUAAUAAUUGUAUUCUUUUAUUAAAUCAUAGUGGCAUUACAGUACAGCAAAAGCUAUACCAUAGAGAAACCCUGCCUCCAAAACAAUAUGACAUUUAAAUGCUGUGUAUGUCUCUCUCUCUCUCUCUCUCUCUCUCUCUCUCUCUCUCUCUCUCUCUCUCUCUCUCUGUGUGUGUGUGUGUGUGUGCGUGUGUGUGUGUGUGCAUGUGCACUCAUCUGCCUGUACACAGAUGUGUAUCACUGUAUAUGUGUGGAAGGCAGAGGACAAUUUUGAGGAAUUAGUUUUCUUUUUCUAACUUGCUGAAGCAGCAUCAUUCAUGUUGUAUUUGCUAUGUUGCAUACCCCAGAACAACUGUCCUGCAAGCUGUUUAUCAAUAUUCUUGUCUCUACUUUCGAUGUCACCAAGAGUUAUGUCUUUAACGCUGUGCAUUACUAAAUCUGGCAUUGUUUCUUUCAUGGAUUCUGGAGAUCAAAAUCAAGUCAUAAGGCUUGCUCAGCCUUAAAUUAUUAAUGAUCUCAUUCACCUCAUCAUUACUUUUCUAUAGAAAGUAGGAUCUAUAUGUCAAGCAUUUCAUUAUUUUAACAAUUCUGUUGAAUAUAUAAAUUGGAGUAUAAAAGGAAUGUCUUGCAGUAUCCGUGAAACAUCUAUUCCUUUACCAUCAUCACUAAUAGUAAACGACUGCCACUUAUGUUUCCUUGUAAAUAUUUGAUUUUUCUCUAGUCAUUGGUCAUUUAUUUUUAUCCAUUGAGUUGUAUUUCUGUUUUGGUGUUUAGGCGAACGAAAUUUUAACUGAAAGGAAAAAAAACUAGUAGGAGCAUCAUCUUAACUGUGCAUACCUCUUUCAUUCCCUCUUCUAUUUUUUUUAUAUUAUUUGCUCACUAUAUUUUCCAUUCAUUUUGUUUUUCAUCAGUGAGAACGGACAUAGGUUUCCUUUGGAGCUGUGCUGCCAACUCUGCUUACCAGUAUGGAUUGCCAUGAUAGAAGCAUGGUCCUUGAGUGCAGAACCCAUCUCACUUCCGCAACCUUUAUGCCUGUUGGUUAUUUUAAGUAACACUAAUACUUGUACUAUUUUUAUAAUGUCAGUUCCAUCUGUCUUUCUCAGCUUAAUUCUGGUUUGUCGUUUGCCUGGUGUGUUAAAAAGUAUAAGGUAAAAAAAAAUUCUAAAACUAGGAAAUAAUCUAGAUAUUAUAGCACUGUUGAACUUUGUGUUUAGAUGUUUAAUUUAGAUGUCAGGUACAAGCUUCAAGUCCCACGGUGGCACUUGUCUUCUAAUAAGCUUGUUGACUAGGAUUAGCCUAAUUAAAAGAACCACGAUCAGUUGAAACUUUUCCCCAGGUUGUUGAAUAGUGCCAGACUAUAGUUAAUCAGACAUGUUGAUGCUAACAUUGGUGACUUCUCACACUAAUGUCUGCAAGUAGAACACAGAAAUACCAUAUAAUUGCUUGCCGUGUCAUAUUGUGUAACACUUACCACAUUACAUCACCAUUCUUUGGCUUGAAGGUUGUGGAUGGUGACUUUCCCUCACCUCUCAGGUUCAGAGCUUGAAACAUGGGUCUUACGUAUUAUGUGUAAAAUAUUUUAUUGCAUACAAUUAUGAUUUAUUAAAGACAAGAAGACAAUUGUAGAAUACCAUGGAUAUCUGGCAAUUUCAUCUUUGUGCUUGCUAUAGAAACAUCACAGAAUCAGACAAUGUAAAGAUAAAUGCUGUACUUUACUGUACACAUUCUCUGUGUAGUAUAAACUUAUGAACCAAUCCAUGUACUCAAACCCAAAAAGCCACCAGUAAGUAACCAUUUCUCAAAAAGAUGUUAAUUGAAAAAGAGGACAUAUCAUAUAUGUCUUACUCAGCUUUUAACAAGACAUUGAUUCACUUCACUAUGGUCUUUCAUCAGUGGAUAAUAAUACACUUCACAUAAUUCUGACCACAGACACAGUAACAGUUUGAAAAUAAGUCGUAUUGUUUAAUUAAUUAGCUUGCUAGAAAAUUAGUUAGCCAUAAUAUUGCAUUCUCUAUCCACAUACUUUCAUAUAAAAUUGAUAGUAUAUUUCACAGAUUUGGGGUAAAGAUUGUUAUAGGUGAUUAAAUUCACCUAAAGAGGGGCUCUCUGGCAGAAAUUAUAUGGAAAACCAUAAGAAAAGAAAAUCAGAAUGAACAACUAGCACCAAAACUGGAUUUGGAUUUUUCUGUCUAAUGUAAAUAAAGAAGAUCAACUUGACAAAUGAAAUAUAAAAUCUGCCUUGAAUUCACUUUCAUGAUUAUUUAACUAAGUAGAUUUGGAAUGGAAUGGUUUUUCACUAGGUAAUGGUUAUUCAUUACUGAAUGUUGUCUUUUGAUGUAUAAUUGUUUGUUUUCAAUCUAUUGGCCAGCUUCUGAAUUCAUCUCAUCUAUUCUACUGGUAUACUGAAGCUAAAAGAGAAAAUUCGCCUUAUUCCUCAGGUGAUGAAAGAAAAUGCUGACUUGGUUACUCUAUUAUUAGGGAGGGUUUUAAUUUUAGAUAUGAGAGAGAGAGAGAACAUCUAGAUCUACCUGGAAUAGAAAGAGAAGCAGAUUGGACACGGUGAGAGCUACAGUGUGGAUGUUGAAAUGUACUUGUGGUACUGAGGGAGUUCAGAGCUCAGAGCUUACUAGAUAGGAACCACUGAAAUGCUUUCUCGUGCCGCUAUCCAGUCUGCCAUCUGUAAGGGAAAAUGUUCCCUUUAAACAGAUGUGAAUCAGUUCCUGAGAAUGCUGGCUUUUAUCUAGCCCACAAAAAUCCUCCUACAGUCCAGGGUGAGCUUUCUCCUGGAUGUUUGGAAAGCCUGUGACCUCACAGUUACCCGUUUUCAAACUUUUCUUGGAUUCUAAGUUACUUCAUCUACUCAACGUGUAUACUGAAGUUCUUUUUUUUUUUUUCAUGUUUAUCAGCAGGUUGAAUUUUUAUUCCACAUUUCAAUUUCAUAAAACACAUUUUUUAAUCUUUAUUAACUUGAGUAUUUCUUAUUUACAUUUCGAUUGUUAUUCCCCUUCCCACUUUCCAGGCCAACAUCCCCCAACCUCUCCCCCUCCCCUUCUAAAUGGGCUUCCCCUCCCCAUCCUCCCCCCAUUACCACCCUCCUUACCAGCAAUCACACUCACUGGGGGUUCAGUCUUGGCAGGACCCAGGGCACUGGUGCUCUUACUAGGAUAUUCAUUGCUACCUAUGGGGUCAGAGUCCAGGGUCAGUCCAUGUAUAGUCUUUGGGUAGUGGCUUAGUCCCUGGAAGCUCUGGUUGCUUGACAUUGUUGUACAUAUGGAGUCUCAAGCCCCUUCAAGCUCUUCCAGUCCUUUCUCUGAUUCCUUCAACGGGGGUCCCAUUCUCAGUUCAGUGAUUUGCUGCUGACAUUCGCCUAUGUAUUUGCCAUAUUCUGAGUGUGUCUCUCAGGAGAGAUCUACAUCUGGUUCCUGUCAGCCUGCACUUCUUUGCUUCAUCCAACUUAUCUAGUUUGGUGGCUGUAUAUGUAUGGGCCACAUGUGGGGCAGGCUCUGAAUGGGUGUUCCUUCUGCCUCUGUUCUAAACUUUGCCUCCCUAUUCCCUGCCAAGGGUAUUAUUGUUCCCCUUUUAAAAAAGGAGUGAAGCAUUUGCAUUUUGGUCAUCCUUCCUGAGUUUCAUGUGUUCUGUGCAUCUAGGGUAAUUCGAGCAUUUGGGCUAAUAGCCACUUAUCAAUGAGUGCAUACCAUGUAUGUCUUUCUGUGAUUGGGUUACCUCACUCAGGAUGAUAUUUUCUAGUUCCAUCUAUUUGCUUAUGAAUUUCAUAAAGUCAUUGUUUUUGAUAGCUGAGUAAUAUUCCAUUGUGUAGAUGUAUCACAUUUUCUGUAUCCAUUCCUCUGUUGAAGGGCAUCUGGGUUCUUUCCAGCUUCUGGCUAUUAGAAAUAAGGCUGCGAUGAACAUAGUGGAGCACGUGUCUUUUUUAUAUGUUGGGGCAUCUUUUGGGUAUAUGCCCAAGAGAGGUAUAGCUGGGUCCUCAGGUAGUUCAAUGUCAAAUUUUCUGAGGAACCUCCAGACUGAUUUCCAGAAUGGUUGUACCAGUCUGCAAUCCCACCAACAGUGGAGGAGUGUUCCUCUUUCUCCACAUCCUCGCCAGCAUCUGCUGUCACCUGAGUUUUUGAUCUUAGCCAUUCUCACUGGUGUGAGGUGAAAUCUCAGGGUUGUUUUGAUUUGCAUUUCCCUUAUGACUAAAGAUGUUGAACAUUUCUUUAGGUGUUUCUCAGCCAUUCGGCAUUCCUCACCUGUGAAUUAUUUGUUUACCUCUGAACCCCAUUUUUAUUAGGGUUAUUUGUCUCCCUGCGGUCUAACUUCUUGAGGUCUUUGUAUAUUUUGGAUAUAAGCCCUCUAUCUGUUGUAGGUUUGGUAAAGAUCUUUUCCCAAUCUGUUGGUUGUCGUUUUGUCCUAACAACAGUGUCCUUUGCCUUACCGAAGCUUUGCAUUUGUAGAUUCUUGAUCUUAGAGCAUAAGCCAUUGGUGUUUUGUUCAGGAAAUUUUCUCCAGUGCCCAUGUGUUUGAGAUGCUUCCCCACUUUUUCUUCUAUUAGUUUGAGUGUAUCUGGUUUGAUGUGGAGGUCCUUGAUCCACUUGGACUUAAGCUUUGUACAGGGUGAUAAUCAUGGAUCGAUAUGCAUUCUUCUACAUACUGACCUCUUCUAAAAGAAACUUUCCCUGAUUUAUUUGGAGAUUUCUUCUGGGCAGGUUUGGUUCUAAGUGUAGCAAAGCUCCUUGAAUCCUAGGGACCUUCCACACAGCUGUUUCUUUGCCAUGCACAUCUGCCUCGCACAUCUGCCAUGCACAUGUGCCCCCACGUGCAUCUCCCAUGCACAUCUGCCACAAAAAUCUGCCACGCACAUCUGCCACACACAUAUCUGCCAUGAACAUUUCUCAAGAUUACUAUUUCUUGGUGUCAUCAUUAUUUUCUAGUUUCUCUCAUUUGUUUUCUAGAGUGUGGACAUGCUGGCUAGUUUUCACUUGUAUCUAAAAUUUGUUUAAUUUUAUAUUCUUCAGCAAUAGUGUAGCAGAGAACAGAUGAAAUUUUAAUUUCCUUCUAUUGUUUGUAACCACCAUGUGCCCCAUCUGCUGUAAAUGUUCUUAUCCAAUCUCCAUUUCUACAUUGUAUUGUCCCUUCAAGUUUUUUAACUGGGUAAUUCCUCAGAGAAGCCUCUUGCCACUCCUGGAAAAUGUGGAGUCUGAACCCAAUCUUUAAUAAUGUGAAUUAUUUUCAAGGAAUACAGUUGUUCUUGUGUGUUUUAUUUAUAUUGUUUUACAUGUUGCUUGAAACCAGAACAUGUAUUGGGUUUGUGGUUUACUUCCUUAAUAUCUGACAAGCAUUACUCCCAUCAUAUACAGCCAUUAAAUAAAUAUAUAUGAAAAUGUAAAUAAUUUUAUGAUAUUUUUCACAUUUAAAUGUUUUUCUCGCUCUGCCAGCCAGUCUGGCCUUAUUUCUCUGUUUGAUUGAGGAAUACACAGUGACCUGGAGUGACAGCGUUGAAACUCUAAGAAGCCAAACUCAUAAUUUUCUAAAAAUAUCACAUGUAAAUUAAUACUGACACUUCAUGAUAUAUGUACAAAAAAGUCACAAUUCUCAAAUACACAGAUGGCAUGAGUAUUAUAUCCCUGGUCCACUCAAAUUUAAAGAUUAUUUUCUAUUAGUUAUAAAUUAAACUUCUAGUUUUCCGUUUAAUAUUUUUAAUUAAUUAAUUUAUAUAUUAUUUAUUUAUUUUUACACUUCAGAUUUUAUUCUUCCACCAACAGUUCCACAUCCCAUACCUUCUCUCUGACCCCUGUCCACGCAGACCCCCUCCACAAGGAUAUCCCAACCACACCCACCCUACCAGUCCUCUAAACUUCCUGGGGCCUCCAGUCUCUUGAGGGUUAAAUGCAUAUUCUGUGACUGAAUCCAGACCUGGAAGUCCUCUGCUGUAUAUGUGUUGGAGGCCUCAUCUCAGCUGGUGUAUGCUGCCUGGUUGGUGUCCCAGUGUCUGAGAGAUCUUGUGGAUUCAGCUUAAUUGAGCCUGCUGGUCCUCUUACAGGGUUACCUUCCACCUCAGCUUCCUCCAGCUUUAGCUUUUCCCUAAUUCAACCAGGGGUCAGCAGCUUCUGGUCAUUGGUUGGGUGGACAUAACUACAUCUGACUCUUUCAGCUCCUUGUUGGGUCUUUUGGAGGGAAGUCCUGAUAGGUCCCUUUUUGUAAACAGCCCAUACACUCAGUAAUGGUGAAAGGUCUUGGGGACUUUCAUUCAGCUGUAUCCCACUUUAGGCAUAUUGUUGGACCUUCCUUUCCUCAGGCUCUUCUUCAUUUCCAUCCCUGCAUUUCUUUCACACAGGUAUAAUUAUGGGUCAGAGGUUUGACUGUGGAAUAGCAAUUCCAUCUCUCUCUUGAUGCCCUGCCUUUCUGCUGGAGGUGGAGUCAAUAAAUUCCCUCUCCCCACUGUAGAGCCUUUCAUCUAGGGUUCCCAACUCCCUUUGAGUCCUGUGAGUCUCUCACUUCCCAGACCUCUGGUAUCUUCUAGAGGGUCCUCCCCACCUCCUUCCUCCAGAGGUUGCCUGUUUUCAUUCUUUCCUCUGGAACUCAGGUUUCAGUCCAUUUUCCCCACCCAAAACCAGAUCGUGUUCCCCCUUUCUCCACCUCAGCCUCUUUCCUUCCCCCAUUUCUCCUUACCUCCCCGUUAUGGUUGCUUUCUUCUCUGUCUCCCAUGAGGGACUGAGGUAUCCUCACUUAGGCCCUUCAGCUUGUUCACAUUUUUGAGUUCCCUGGACUUUAUCUUGGGGAUUGCCUGCAAAACUCAGAAUGUAAACAUUGCCACGAAAGCAAACAACAAAGGUAAACAUAAGAAAGAUGGCUCAUUUCUGUGAUUUUUAUUAAAUCAGUGCCCUUUUAUGGAUUGUUUCAUUAAAUUGAUGUGGAUUUUUUUCCCCACAGAUUUGAUCCUAGUGAUGAAACUAGGAUUUAUUUCAGUAAUCUCUGGGGGUUUCAGGCAAUCACUACAAAAUGUUUACUCAAAGAUAGGAUAGAAAAAAACAGAUAAAAAUCUAAGAUCAUCUAAAAAUACAUGUCUGUAUAUUUAUUAAGACAAUUUGAAGGCUAAUUGAGACUAUUUUAAAGAGAGACGAUCUAAUCAUGUAUGUAUUGUGAUGUGAGACUCACAUAUAUAAUUUUAUUCCUUAUUUUACUUCCUGUAUCCCACAGGUAUAUUAAUAUCCAUGUCUCACUUUUCUGAGCAGAUCAGGUGUUUUACUUCCAUGUCAUGUAUUGCUUGCCGUUGAUUAUUCUUCUAAGUGAACUACCAUGAUAUAUAAUACAGAACGUAUAAUUUGUUUUUAUGUUGUUUUCAUAAUUUUCAGUGUUUCUUAUUAUUUUUCCAAUUAAAAGAAAGUGACAUAUAAAAUAUUUUAUAUAUGUAACAUGUAAUAUGUAAAUACAUGAAGUACCUGGUGAUUUCAUGAAUAUUUAUGCUCUUGCUCAUAUGUUGUUAAAAUUAAAAUAAAAUUCAAUUUUAAUUCUGUAUGAAAGAUAAAAAGAUGACUUAAAUAUUUUCCAAAAUUGGACAUGGUAGCAUAUGAUUUUUAUUAGUUCAUGGAUACAAGCAUUACAUAAACUGUCAAGUGCUGUGGAUUUCUCUGUGAAUCACCAUAUCAAAUCUAAUGUGGUGGUGGUUUGCAAAGUAAUUCAUAGUGCUUCAUAGAUGCUCCUACAGUUGCUCUAUAUGUUGAAACCUGGGAUCCUUUAGUGGGCCAUUGAGAACAAAACUUUGAACUAUAUGAUUUAAACCAUUCAAAUAUGGUUACGUUGUUACUUAGUGAGCAGUAAGCAAAGAUCUAUAAAGCACUGAAAAAUCAAGCCAGGAGUAUUUUAACAUGCUUGUAAUAUAGCAUUCGAGACGCUGAGGCAGGAGGACUAUAGAAUUUGAGGACUUCUUAUCAGUAUCACAAGGCCAUCUGUCAAAUUAUAUCUGUCUGUCUGUCUGUCUGUCUAUCUAUCUAGAGAUAGACAGAUAGAUAGAUAUAAUCAGUAUUGUUUUCAUUUACUUGUGCAUUUUACAUCAAUGCACAGUCUCUUCCUUCUUUUUUACCAACAAAACCAACAAUUUGUGAUAUGCCAUAUUUUUAAAAAUGCAAUAUAUCUAAAACAAAAGCACUGAAUUGCCACCUGCACUCAUUAAUCACAAAUGAGCCAUUUUGAAAUUUAAUUAUGUUACCUUUACAUGUACAAUUGCACACCUAGAGGUAACAAGGAAAAAUUACACAGAAAGUUAUCCAGUGACUUUACUAUUACACAAUUCAAAUAGAAAUUAAUCAGGGAUUUGUAAACACCAUUAUUUUAAAAUGGUUUUAAGAAUAACUAAACUUUAAUAGUAUUCAAGUGAUCCAGAAAAAGAAAUACCCCAAAUAUAAUAUAUAUAUAUAUUAUAUAUAUAGUUUGUCUUUAUUAAAAUUUAUUGUUUUAAUGGUCAUUUCUCAUUUAAUCUCUACAUUUUGGUUUCGUCAUCUUUUUUAUGACAAAACAAUUUGGUAACAGGCUGAAGUCAUCUGUCAAUGGUUAAGAACAUGGAUUUUGCAACAAGAGACCCAGAGUACAGUUUCUCACACCCAUAUCAUGUGGAUCACAGAAACCUGUAACUUCAGCUCGAGAGAUCUGACACUCUCUGUUAGCCUAUGUUGGACAUUAUACUCGUGUGCAUGUGCCCCCACACAGAUACACUCAUACACAUACAUAUAAUCUUAAAAUAGUCUUUAAAAUGAGUAAGUUUCAAACGUUUCAAGAGUGUAAUCGCUGUCAUGUUAGCUACCAAUUGCUGGAAAACAGUGUGGAGCUCACAGUUCUUUCCUUCAUUACUGUAAUUAAAUGUGCUAAAUUCCAACCAUUCACAAUUAGUUUUUUAUUGGAUAUUUUAUGUAUUUAUAUUUCAGAUGUUAUCCCUUUCCAGGUUUCCCCCUCUCUCAUUACCGCUCCCAUUAUUUCUAUGAAGAUGCUCCCCCUCCCAACCACCUAUUCCCACUUCAAUACCCUAGUAUUCCCCCUACACUGGGGAAAACAACUUUCACAGGACCAACGGCUUCCUUUCCUAUUGAUGCCAGACAAUGUCAUCCUCUGCUAUGUAUGUGGCUGGAGCCAUGGGUCUCUUUAUGUAUACUCUUAGUGUUUAGUUCCUAGGAGCUCUGGGGCUAUGGUUGGCUGACAUUGUUGUUCUUCCUAUGGGCUUACAUACCCCUUCAGCUGCUUUAGUCCUUUUCCUAGCUCCACUACUGGGGUCCCCACAUUCAAUGUGAUGGUUAGUUGCAAGCAUCCUCAUCUGUAUCAGUAAGGCUCUGGCAGAGCCUCUCAGGAGACAUCUAUAUCUGGCUCCUGUCAGCAAGCACUUCGUGGCAUCAGCAAUUGUGACUGGGAUUGGUGGCUGAAUAUGGAAUUGAUCCCCAGGUAGGGCAGUCUCUGCAUGACCUUUCCUUCUGUUUCUACUACAUGCUUUGUCCAUUCACUUUAUCACAUGAUUAUUUUGUUCCUCAUCCUAAAAAGGACUGAAGCAUCCACAUCUUCUUCUUUCUUCUUGAGCUUCAUAUGAUCUGAAUUUUAUCUUGGAUAUUCUGAGCUUUGGACUAAUAUCCACUUUUCAGCGAAUAUAUAACAUAUGCUCUCUUCUGUGAAUGUGUUACCUCAUUCAAGAUGAUAUUUUCUAGUUUCAUUCAUUUUUUUAAAAUUGCAUGUAGUCCCUGUUUUUAAUAGUUUAGUAGUACUCCAUUGUAUAAAUGUACCAUAUUUUCUGUAUCCAUUCCUCUUUUGAAGGGCAUCUGGGUUCUUUCCAGCGUCUUGCUAGUAUAAAUAAGGUUGCUAUGAACAUAGUGGAGCAUGUGUUUUUGUUAUAUGUUGGAGCAUCUUUGAGCGUAUGCCAAGAAGUGGUAUAGCUGGGUCCUCUGGUAGCACUAUGUCUAAUUUUCUGACGAACCACCAGACUGAUUUCCAGAGUGGUUGUACUAGCUUGUCACCCACAAACACUGGAGGCAUGUUCCUCUUUCUCCACAUCCUCACCAGCAUCUGCUGUUACCUGAGUUUUUGGUCUUAGCCAUUCUGACUGUUGUGAAGUGGGAGCUCAAGGUUGUUUUGAUUUGAUUACUAAGGAUGUUGAACAUUUCUUUAGGUGCUUCUAAGCUAUUCAGUAUUCCUCAGUUAAGAAUUCUUUGCUUAGCUCUAUGCUAUUUUCUUUCUUUCUUUUUUUUUUUUCUACACCAUUUUCAAUAGGGUUGUUUGAUUCUCUGGAGUCUAACUUCUUGAGUUCUUUGUAUAUAUUAUAUAUUAGCCCUCUAUCAGAUAUAGGCUUGGUAAAGAUCUUUUCCCAAUUUGUUGGUUGUGGUUUUGUCCUAUUGACAAUAUCUGUUGCCUUACAGAAGCUUUGCAAUUUCAUGAGGUCCCUAUUUGUUGAGUAUAAGCCAUUGGUGUUCUGGUCAGGAAAUUUUUCUCUAUGCCCAUGUGUUAGAGGCUCUUCCCCACUUUCUCUUUUAUUAGUUUAUAUGUAUCUGGUUUUAUAUGGAGGUCCCUGGUUCACUUGGUCUUGAGCUUUGUAAGAGAACAUAAGAAUGGACUGAUUUUCAUUCUUCUACAUGCUUUCCAACAGUUGAACCAGGACCAUUUGUUGAAACUGCUGACUUUUCCCCACUAAAAUGAUGACUUAAUAUUCCUAAUAAGGUAUCUCUAAUUAUUUCACACAUUUAUGUCCUUAUAUGUCAACUUUCAAAUACUCAAAAUUAAGUUGAUUAAUUGGAAUUCAGUUUAUCAGAACAUUUUGGACAUAUUUCUCCUAAAACAUCAUUAACCUGAUAGUUUGUGGUAAUAUUAUCAGCAUAGAUAGAUCUUUUUAAGUAUUCUCAUGAGAGUGUAAUAUUUUUGGAUGAGUAGUUUAAAGCUGACAGAUACAUAUGUAUCUAAUUUUAAUAGAAUUUUUGUUUUAUAUUUCAUUUAUUAAACUAAUCUGUAGCAGAUUCAAAUUGAGGGUUUGUUUGUUAAAAACAGAAAUGAACUUAUGGAACUUUAGUACUGUUAUUGACACCAUUGUGUAUUGGAACAAGUCAAUGUUAUGUCCAAUAUUGUUGAAACAGAAAAAUGAAGUAACCUACUAGCAACCUAUGGGAUGAAAAAGUUCCAGUUUACAUGAAUGCUUGCAUGUAAAGCAUUUCAGCAUAAUUACUCAAAUUCUGAGUUUAUUAGGUGCAUACUAAUUAUCAGUUAAUAGAAUAUCAACCUUUACUUUCUUGUGGGUAUACUCAUGUGCUUUAACUGAGAAGCACUGUAAUCAGUGUCCUAAUUUAUCUCCUCAAGAGAAUGUACUUCAACAGGCUUUUUUCCUAAAUAAUAAUUAGUGGAGUAAAUUAAACAUCUCCAGGUUUCCUCCAGAAAAUUAUGUUUUGGAUCUAAAAGCAAAAAUGAAAUGUUGGGAUAUAAAUAAGUUCUCUUUUAGGAAAAAAGGCCAAGACUUACAAAGAUCUUAUGUUCCCAUUAAUUUAUCUGUAUUAUCUCAUUUAUUCUCUCUAGUGUUACAUUCAUGUCUGUAGAAAAAAGAUACUAAGUGGUCUACCUUGUAAACUUUACUCUGUGUUAUCUAAUGUAUGCAUAUAUGCAGGUUACUUCAAUGUAUCAAUGAGGAUGUACAACAUAUAGAAUAAAGUUUAAGAAACAAGGAAAAGAUGCUUCUGUUUAUUCUUCUCAAUGCUAUUAAUUUCCUUUUAUGAAUUCAUGGUAUAUUGUUACUUGUAAGAUAAUGAAUUUCCCAGCUCUUAAUUAAAUAAUGUCAUGAAAUCUUUAGGGUGAAUGUAAACACAUUUUCUAUAAGCAGAAACACUGACACCUACCAGAGGUUCCACAGUUAAGUCAAGCCAACAUCCUCCAUUAAAAGAGAUUUCCAUAGUUUGAUGAUGUCAGCAUUUUAGAGUCUGAAACUUAGAGACAAACAGGGAGCCCUUUGGCGCCUAUCAAAUGAUCAAUGUGAGAGGUACUCUGGACUGGAGUACAGAGCCUGGGACAUAAAUGCGAAGAGUCCACUGUCAUUUAAAGUUUAUUGGGCAAUAGAAAAACCAGUACAGUAUUAAUUCAAAGAAAACUAGGUGUAUAUUUUCUAUGAUGACGGGAUUGUAUAAACUUAGAAACUUGGGAAACAUUCUCAUGUGAAUCUUAAAUACUUUUUUCCCCUGGGAACCACUGAAUGAAAUCUCUGUGAGGUCAGGAAUCUCUGACAAUUUUGAAAAUUUGAAAAAAUUGAAGAAACUGCAGAUAUAAAACUAGUAUGAAGUUACAUAAAGCCAGAAAAAGGGAACCCUCAGCAAUCAGAAUAUAAAUCACCUUCUAUUUUAAAGGCGAGUAACCAUGGAAACAGCACUAUGGACCUGUGGUUCUAGAUAACAGACCUGAGUUCUAGACUGAAUGGAACCUCUCUGCCAAAGUGUGCAUUUCUAUGCUUAGCAUUGCUUACCUAUGGCUAAUGUAAAUAACAGAUGGCCAACUCCUCCCAGUUGUGUUAGCCCAUGGGGAAUACCGUGAGCUACAUAUGACAGCCAACCACACUUCCUAGCAGAAGAAACAGUGACCUUGGCUGAGUUUAUUCAAGCAGGAGGUGCUGAGAGAUAUCGAUGAAACUGUGGAAGUCUCUUUGUCUUAUGUUCGUCAUCAUCAGAAUGCACUGAUUUUCUAGCCUAUUUGAUAUAUUUCUUUUAUCUGUUAUAGCUGACAAACUUACUGAUUUCUUACUAAUAAACCAUUACAUUAACUUUUAA